UUUUUCUUUACAGAAUAAGGAAUAAGUGUUUGGACCAUACAAAUUUCUAAGAGACGUGGACUGACAUUCGCCAUAAUAAUGGACAUCUGCUCAUGGACAGAAUAAGGGGUGAGUUUGGACCAUACAGAGUUUUGGGAAACUUAAACCAAUUUUGGACAUCUGCUCAUGGACAGUCUGGCCUAAAGCAUAACCGCUGCUGGACAUCAUGCUGGAAGCUCCAGGGGGAGACCGUACUGGUAUCCCCCUCCUUUGGGUGCACCCUUCACUCACACCACACCAUUCAUUCAUAUCGCAGAGAUCUGGCUGGGAUCGAACCAGCAACCUCUGAAACCGUGAGGCAGCGCUCAUACCUGUGAGCCACAGAUCUCUUGUCCUGACAUGUGAAGGAACUUAUACUUCACUGUUCACCUGUUUGUGAGCUUUGUGUUUAACAUAAGUAUCAAAUUAAAGCUGUGGUGUAGUGAUUGUAUCCCAACACACCGAGGUGAGAUUUGAACCCACAGCUCUAGCGCAUCCAUGUGUGCAGUUAACAUGUAUUUAGCCACCUGAGCCACUGUGGCUUUCACAGCAAGUGCUAGCGUUUGAGGCACUUUGUUGUUUAUAAUGCAACGUGAAAAUUUUAACCUUAGCAACAGUGGGAUUUGAACUCAGGACUCCUUGAUUACAAAGCAACACUUUACCUGCUGAUCUACUGAAUCUCGGAUGCUGUUUUUGUAUUUUUUGUUUUGAACAUGAUUAAAAUAUAUAAUAUAUAAACCACAAGCUGUGAAAAUACAUAACAUUAAUAAUGCUUGGAUUUGUACCAAGAGUUUCAUGUGCUGUAGGCAAACAAUUAUCCUCUGAGCCAUAGAUUUCAGGUUGAGCUUUUUAUUCUGUGUUUGUUUUGUUAGAUAUGUUGACCCAAACUGUUGUUAUAAUACACAGUGGUGGGAUUUGAACUCAAGACUUUAGUGCAUCCAUGUGUGAGGUUAACAUGUGUUUAACCACCUGAGCCACUGCGGCUUUCACAACAUUUUUAACCUUAGCAAUAGUGGGACUAGAACUCAGGACUCCAUGAUUAAAAAGCAAAAAUUAUAUACUGAGCCAGUGAGUUUUGGUGGUAUGAUAUCAAACCAAGAGUUUAUAGCAUGAAAGGCAAACAAUUAUCAUCUGAGCCACAGAUUUU